GACAGAGGGGGCAAGCGUUGCUCGGAAUCACUGGGCGUAAAGGGCGCGUAGGCGGGUUGGCAAGUCAGUCGUGAAAUCUCUCGGCUCAACCGAGAAACGUCGGCUGAUACUGCCGUUCUUGAGGGAUGCAGAGGAGACUGGAAUUCCCGGUGUAGCGGUGAAAUGUGUAGAGAUCGGGAGGAACACCGGUGGCGAAGGCGGGUCUCUGGGCAUCUCCUGACGCUGAGGCGCGAAAGCGUGGGGAGCAAACGGG
rnacentral:rRNA from 1 species